CUGUGCUUGAUUGCAUGGUGUGGGAAUCAGGACAUUUACUUUGAGGAAUUUAUAGUGUUUCACGCAGGUUUGUGCUGAAAUAGCCUAGCAUGGAAUAAUAACAUGGGGUCUUGGUCUUGUUCGUCGGUUUCUACGCUGAGGAAACAAUCAAUAGGGAUAGCUGGGGGCAUUUGUACUUAACUGUCAGAGCGUGAAAUUCUUGGAUUUGUUUAAGACAAACUACUGCGAAAGCAUUUGUCAAGGAUGUUUUCAUUGAUCAAGAACGAAAGUUAAGGGAUCGAAGACGAUCAGAUACCGUCCUAGUCUUAACCAUAAACAAUGCCAUCUAGAGAUUGGAGGUAGUGCCAAGGAUUACUUCUUCAGCAUCAUUUGAGAAAUCAAAGCUUUUGGGUUCCGGGGGGAGUAUGGUCGCAAGGCUGAAACUUAAAGGAAUUGACGGAAGGGCACCACCAGGAGUGGAGCCUGCGGCUUAAUUUGACUCAACACGGGAAAACUCACCAGAACCAGACAUAAACAGGAUUGACAGAUUGAUAGCUCUUUCUUGAUUUUAUGGGUGGUGGUGCAUGGCCGUUCUUAGUUGGUGGAGUGAUCUGUCUGGUUAAUUCCGUUAACGAACGAGACCUUGUCUUACUAAAUAGUUACAUGUAA
rnacentral:rRNA from 1 species